rnacentral:rRNA from 1 species
CCUACGGGAGGCAGCAGUGGGGAAUCUUGCGCAAUGGGCGAAAGCCUGACGCAGCGAUGCCGCGUGCGGGAUGAAGGCCUUCGGGUUGUAAACCGCUUUCAGCAGGGACGAAAUUGACGGUACCUGCAGAAGAAGCCCCGGCCAACUACGUGCCAGCAGCCGCGGUAAU